rnacentral:lncRNA from 10 species
CUAGGUUCUAUAAAUGAGAUUUAGAGGAUCUGCAGCCCUGUGGGAUGCCGUUACGAAGAAUCCAGAAAUAGUGAGUCCAUCACAAGUACCAUACGCAAUUUCAUUUCCACAUCUUCACUUGGACUUGAAACUCACCAGGAGCACCUUUCUGUUUCCCCUCUACCAAUUCAGGCCAAAGUUCAUCCCGAGUGUGGUUAACACCCAGCUUUCUGCAUUGCAUCAUCCGGAUCCCUCAGCAGUCAUUUGGGAAGCCAGAUACCAUGCUCUCUAGUGUGGUGUUUCAUCCAAGUCUCAAGUGAUGAAAGGAGACAGAAACUCGAAAUGCCUGACUGGCAUGGCAGCAGCCAAGAAGGGCCAACAUCCUGGAUAAGCAACUGGUCAGCCCCUCACAGCAAAACCAUGCAGGUCCCAAAGUGGUCAGAUAGCUGAGCGCAUGGCUGAGACAGCAGCUAGUCCUGUGAGGGCAGAGGGAAUCUCAGGAAAUGUAGACGAUGUC